UACGUAGGGACCGAGCGUUGUCCGGAAUCAUUGGGCGUAAAGAGCGUGUAGGCGGCCCCUUAAGUCCUGCGUGAAAUCCUGCGGCUCAACCGCAGACGGUCGUGGGAAACUGGAGGGCUAGAGUGCGGGAGAGGAGAGUGGAAUUCCCGGUGUAGCGGUGAAAUGCGCAGAUAUCAGGAAGAACACCUAUGGCGAAGGCAGCACUCUGGGACGGUACUGACGCUGAGACGCGAAAGCGUGGGGAGCGAACAGG
rnacentral:rRNA from 1 species